GACGAACGCUGGCGGCGUGCUUAACACAUGCAAGUCGAACGAUGAAGGAGAGCUUGUUCUCCGGAUUAGUGGCGAACGGGUGAGUAACACGUGACUAACCUGCCCCUUUCUCUGGGAUAACGCUCCGAAAGGAGUGCUAAUACCGGAUACGAACUCUGAACACAUGUUCGGAGUUGGAAAGUUUUUCGGAAAGGGAUGGAGUCGCGGCCUAUCAGCUGGUUGGUGAGGUAACGGCGCACCAAGGCGACGACGGGUAGCCGGCCUGGGAGGGCGACCGGCCACACUGGGACUGAGACACGGCCCAGACUCCUACGGGAGGCAGCAGUGGGGAAUAUUGCACAAUGGGCGAAAGCCUGAUGCAGCGACGCCGCGUGAGGGAUGAAGGUCUUCGGAUUGUAAACCUCUUUCAGUAGGGACGAAGCGAAAGUGACGGUACCUAAAGAAGAAGCACCGGCUAACUACGUGCCAGCCGCCGCCGUAA
rnacentral:rRNA from 1 species